ensembl:lncRNA
AUGCCUCAUAACUUAUUUCUAUUUAUUUAUUUAAUUUUGAAAUGGAGACCACUCUGUCGCCCAGGCUGGAGUACAGGUGGUACGAUUUCAGCUCACUACAACUUCUGUCUCCCGGGUUCAAGUGAUUCUCCUGCCUCAGCCUCCCAUAGCUGGUACUACAGGCGGAGUCUCCCUGUCGCCCAGGCUGGAAUGCAGUGGUGCUUUUCUCCGUUCACUGCUACCUCUGCCUCUUGGGUUCAAGUGAUUCUCCUGCCUCAGUCUCCCAACUAGCUGGGAUUACAGGUACACACCACCUGUUAGAAUUUUUGUAUUUGUAUUGCUCCCAGGUAAAAUCCCUACUCUGUGUGCCACCUGUAUACUUACAAAACACUUCUAUCACAGUGUUGAUUUAAUCACUUGCUUUCUAACUGGGCCUCAGGCUAACCCUUGAGGGCAGAGAUAUUCUCGUUUGUUUUAGCUUUUCCACAGCUGUGUACCAGGUAUCCAUUAGGGGCUCAAUAAAUGUUGAAUUAAUGAAUUUGUGAAUAAAUAAAAGAUCACUAAUCAGUAAGGUUUUUUGAAUGCUUAUUUUUGAAAACACACUUUAAGAGUAAAUGUUUAUUGCUUUAGAAUACAAAGAAUAAGAUCGAUAUUUGAUAGUACAACAGGACACUAUCGUCAAUAAUUAAGUUGUACACUUAAAAAUAACUAAGAGGUAUAAUUGGAUUGUUUGUAAUACAAAGGACAAAUGCCUGAGAGGAUGGAUACCUCAUUUUCCAUGAUGUAAUUAUGACACAUUGCAUGCCUGUAUCAAAACAUCUCAUGUAGCCCAUAAAUAUAUACACCUAUUAUGUACCCACAAAAAGUAAAAACAAAAUAUUUUUUAAAAGUAAAUGUUAUUUCAAAAGCUGUUUAAGAUACUGAGCCUAGACUGUAACACAAUAGGUGCUCAACAAAUGUUUUUUGAAUAAAUACCUAAUACUCAGACAUCACAAGUACUUUCAGUUUAUUGUGACUUGCAAUCUGAGGCCCUGGUAACUUUGGAAGUAAAUAAAGCCACAUGAUAAACAAUGACACAUCUUUCUCAGGUGUAAAUUGCUUAAAGCUUUUACAGCUAUUUAAACAAGAGGCAAAAUAAAACAUUCACAUUAGUUUUAAAGAAAAACAUCUUUCUUCAAAUGUAUUUUUUGUUUGUGAGAGCUUACUUGGGGCUAUAUCUUCAGACUCCCUGUGUUUAAUGUUAUCUUUCCAUUGGUUUCGUGAGUGCUUUGCAAGAAAUGUCUAAGAGGUGGUAGGUACAUUUUGUGAUUGGUGUUUUACAUCUUUGUCUGAAUAAGAAGAAAAUAUACCAAUCAUUAACACCUGUAGAGGGUUUAACUCUAGCUAAAGUCACUUUCAUCUAAUCUUUUCUGGGCUUCACUUCUUCCAGACUGGAACACUGAGCAGGCAUUAUCAACAUCCCCAUUUUAUAGAUUAGGAAACUUGAGAUUACUAAAUCUGGGCUAGGGUCCUCCUGGGAAUGGGGCAGGGGGAGUGCUGGUUAAAGAAAAUUAUUCUGACACUUGUUAAACACAAUGAAUAAAUUAUUCAACAUCACUGCAAUAAGGGUCACCACUAUUGAAACAGGAGAGAGAAAUUGAGCUCAACUCAGAAUACAGCAAAGACAGCAAGGGAUUUAUAGGCAAGGAACGAGCACCGUGUCUGUGAGGGAGGUGACGGGGGACGGAAAAUUACUAAGAGGAGACAUCAAGGGUAGGAGGAUUCUGACUAAAGGCAGGUCAAGGGCUUCUGCAGCAAAGGUGGAAUACAGAGAAUCGAAUCUGAUAUUAAAUAUCAAGAGUUCAAGGGUGAUCAGUUAUCGAGGAUGUAUGACUUAGCACGAUUCUUGCCAAUACUUGGGCACAGCCAGGACACAGGAUGGUCAACGUUGAGGCCUAGUUGAGAAAGGGCUCAGAGGUACCGAACUAAAGGAGAGCGUCUCUAUUCCAGCCUAUUCUGACCUCUUUUCCCCGCUUAAACUCAGUGUUAACAAUCUGACCUCUUUUAUUACCUGAUUCCCAUGGAAGGGGUGGGGACUGGCAGGCAGCCCGUGCUCUAGGAUCGUGAGCAGGAGGCCUAGCUC